rnacentral:rRNA from 1 species
AUGCAUCCUCAGGUUGCUUUACUCCUCACCCUCGUCCUCCUCCUGGCGGCCGGAGAUGGCGGCCUCGUCGUCGGCACUCUGCCCGCGAUCAUCACAAGGACAUGCGUCGAUGUCGGCCGCGGUGGGCAAGUGGGUUACGACUCCUGCGUGGAAGCGCUCUCGGCCGACUCGGCGGCCGCGUCCGCCAAGGACGCACGUGAGCUCGCCGUCGUGGCCACCAACCUUACCGUGGCCAACGUCACAUCGACGGUGCUCGUCCUCGACGACCUUGUCAAGAACCUCGGGGAGUGCCUCCGCUACUACAGGGACAUGAACAAGACCCUGGAGGGCGUGGUCGGUGACCUACGUGCUGGGCGCCUCAAAGCGGCGUCUCAGAAACUCUUGGAUGCCACCGAGGCGCCCAGCUCCUGCGACAUGCUCCUGUUCGAGGGGAGCGCGGAGAAGAACCCGAUGAGCAAGGAGAACAACGACGCCGAGUGGCAUAUGCGAUUGCUAGCUUGCCGGCGCCGAAUUCUCGGCACUGACGUCAAGUUUAAUUCUUGGUCUCAUGCAACUUAUUGA